rnacentral:rRNA from 2 species
AUGAAGAAUAAUUAGUGGCAGACGGGUGAGUAAUGCAUAGGAAUCUACCUAGUAGUAUGGGAUAGCCACUAGAAAUGGUGGGUAAUACUGUAUAAUCCCUGCGGGGGAAAGAUUUAUCGCUAUUAGAUGAGCCUAUGUUAGAUUAGCUAGUUGGUAGGGUAAAGGCCUACCAAGGCGAUGAUCUAUAGCUGGUCUGAGAGGAUGAUCAGCCACACUGGAACUGAGAUACGGUCCAGACUCCUACGGGAGGCAGCAGUGGGGAAUAUUGGACAAUGGGCGCAAGCCUGAUCCAGCUAUGCCGCGUGAGUGAGGAAGGCCUUAGGGUUGUAAAACUCUUUCAGUAGGGAAGAUAAUGACGGUACCUACAGAAGAAGUCCCGGCAAACUCCGUGCCAGCAGCCGCGGUAAUACGGAGGGGGCAAGCGUUGUUCGGAAUUAUUGGGCGUAAAGGGCAUGUAGGCGGUUCGGUAAGUUAAAGGUGAAAUGCCAGGGCUUAAC